rnacentral:lncRNA from 1 species
CCGGGUCACAAACCAAAACCAAGGAAAAUGCAUCAACUAUAAGAGGAACACAACGAUAUAACAGAAACACUGAACAGCUUCAAAAACAAACGCCAACAUACAAAGAAACAGAUUAAUGGAUACCAACUGUCAUAUGCCUGACUUGGUACAGGACAUUUGAAGAAAAAUGGUGGUUCGAAUAUGGUUUUAAACCAGAGUUAAAAUGCAAAAUUGAAAUUAUCCCUUAGAACAUUUUAUGGACGCCACUACUAGUUGGUUGACAAUUAUGAAAUAUCUAUUUUGCCAGAUGACGACUGAUAAGUUCCAAUCGACGUACCCAAAAUACCGUCAUCUCUGCCUUGAUUGUCACCUACCGAAUAAGGCUUGGCACCG